GGAGGCAGUUCUUGACGUACUGAUACGCAGCGUUGCUGUCAAAGUCCAUGUUUUCUUUCAGCUUCACUGCUGCCAUUCCAAUUCGUCCCUCGUGUCCUAAUCAGCCAAGGUCAACGCAGAAAGACACAUUAGCCUCCUCGACGCAGUCUAUCGUCAGCAAAUGAUCGGCCACCUCUGUGGUCGCCACGUUUUCUCCUUUCCACCUGUAAUAAUGACCAAACAAAGACAGACGGGUGGCGUCUCCCUUAGAGAGAGGGUGAGAAGCUCAGCCAUCAGGAGAG